CUGAUUCAGAUAGCCAUGCACGUCUAAGUACAAACUAAAUGAUGGUGAAACUGCAAAUGGCUCAUUACAACGGUUAUGAUGUACCCGGGAGUUCCGAUGGAUAUUUCCAGUAACACUAGAACUAAUACAUGUCCCUGCGUUUAUUAGUUUCGCACGGUCCGUCGCUGAGUCAUGGUAAACAGUUGAUCGACUCGACGUCCCGGAACAGUUUCCGCCCCAUCAGCUUCGAUGGUUGGGUAUUGGCCUACCAUUGCAACAACGGGUAACGAGGAAUUAGGGUUUGAUUUCGGAGAGGGAGCCUGAGAAACGGCUACCACAUCUACGGAUGGCAGCAGGCGCGCAAAUUACCCAAUGCAGACACUGUGAGGUAGUGACGAGAAAUAAUAAAGCGGGACUUCUGUUUCGCUAUUAUAAUGAGGAAUAACCAAAGGUCAUUCCGAUUAGCAACUGAUGGGAAAGUCUGGUGCCAGCAGCCGCGGUAAUACCAGCGUCAGUAGCAU
rnacentral:rRNA from 1 species